GCCACCGCCACUACCAUAAUCCUUAUUCUUCCCCUACUACUAAAUCAUUCAUAUUGUCGAACCCCUUGAAAGCUUGCUUCCUCUUGGUUCUUCUCCUCCACGUUUGUCUCUGCGGCGAGCCCGUGUCCUAGAGCCCUUUCUCUCUUUGCCCAAAGCCCGGAGUUCCUUUCUCACCCUCAAUCCAGUCAUCCCACUGCGGGGAGUGGGAUUUGUUGAUGAAGAGCAUGAUUCCGUUAAUGGUGGAUUCUGAGUUGGGGUUUAAUUCUCUAUUUGACUGCGUUUUUAAUAAUCUUAAUGGUAUAUUCGAAUCUUGUUACUGAUAAUGGUUGCCUGUGAAUAACUGGGAUGUAUGUCUCAAUUCAUGUAGAAUUAAUUCCUAAUAAGUUAUUCAUUAGUUUCGUUAAAUAGAGAACAAGCAAAGGCUAGUUGAAAAAAAAAUUACACUAAUCAUAUUACACGUUAAUUGGCUUGCAAUGUAAAUUGAAGGGUACAGGGACAUUAAUUAAACUUGAUGGAACCCCUUAGGAUUCUUAGCAAUCUAUGAUUAAAUUGAUUAUCCAUAAAAAUCUAUGUUUGGCUCUAAUUAGAUUCCAUCAACUAAUACUGUUUCAAGUAAACUGCAGAAUUUUAUAUUCACAAGUACUACUUCAACUGAAAACACCACACCAGAUAUGAAUUUGUUCCCUACUACUAUUUAUGUUACAUAUUUGCUAAUUUCAAGCAAUAAGAUUGUUAUAGGUUCUAAGUGGAUUUUGCUAUCAAAAGGGACCGUUUAGGCAAGAUUAUUAGAUACAGAGCCAAACUUAUUGUCAAAGGCUUCUUUACAGAUUGAAGAGGUUGACUAUGACCAAAUUUAUAGUUUAGUUCUGAAGACUACAAAGGUAACAAGCUCCAAAAACUUAGUUUAACACAUUGAUUGCAACUAUUAUCGAAUUUAAUUUUAUUAUAACUAAGCAUGAUAUUUUUCUAAUUGUUAAACAUGCUACUCCUAAAUCUCAAGCCUAAAAUUAACAUCCAAUAGUGCAGAAUAUUUUCAUGAUUCUAGGCAUUAUAGAGAAAUUAUGAGUACUUCAAUGGUUAACUUUUUUAGACCCAACUUUGAUUUCUUUGUUAAUUGAGUUAAACAAUUCAUGUACUCUCCUAUCAUUGAUCAUUGAAGGACAGUAAAAUGCCUACUGAGAAUCGUCACAGGUUUUAUUUUGUUUUAUUUUUCGAUGAUAUCUUUACUUUAUUUUUAUUUUUAUUUAUUAUUUUGAGUUUUAGAUCAUUGUAUUUACUGUUCCUUUCAUUUCAAUUAUUGACUGAUUUUUAACUUAACCAAGCUGAAUAAAGACGACUUCCUAUAAUUUUUUCAUAUAAGAUUGUUACUUUGUUAUAAUUCAUCUAUAUAUGAGCAUGGAAUGUAUUAUUGAAUUGUGAAUUGCACACGCUAUAUAUUAUUCUCAUUGGAAUUUAUAUGUAUGUGUGUUUUUUGGUGAUGACACGCUAUGUCCUACCAUUACUAUACUGCAUAUAUGAUGAUAUAUACAAUUGCAAUAGGAACGAGUUGUCAGUGUAUUCCAAACUACAAAUUUGAGCAUAAUUCCUAUAUACCAAGUAAGCUUAGUAGCACAUGAUAUUGAUUUACUAUAACUAUCAUUACUUAUUAAUACCUUUAAUUGUUAGUGUAUUUCAUAAUUCUGAUUAAAUUAUCUAUUAUCACCCUUAACUGCGGUCUUUGGUCUCAUACAAUAAAUUGUCUAUUAUCAAUACGUCAUAAAUACCGGAGUUUAAUAUAUAUUAACUAGGGUAUGCCAAUGUCCUUUUUGCAUGUUAAUAAAUAUUAUUAUCUAUGUAUUAAUUAUUAUCACUUUGUUUUGAUUCGAAUGCAGUUAGGAAAGAUGUCCAAGAUAGGUCGUUUCACGAAGAAAGCCCGUGUGGACACACCAUGUCAGCAGCCUCAAGUAGAAUUUGAUGCGGCUUCAACUUCGUAUCAAGCGGACUGCCUAAUUCCGCCGCCUAGUGGCAGUGGUGCUCCCGCAUCCUCGUCUGUACGCCCCUUUCGUCCGCCCCAUAGCGAACCACUACCUGCUCCACAGGCUUGUACAAAUGAUGUUCAAAACUCAGAGCCGGAUGCCGAAGACUAUGACCCAGAGACAGUGAGGUAGAUUCUUUUGAGCAACAUGUUGAGAACCUGUUUGCUGAAUCAGAUGCUCAAAAGCGCAAGGAACACAAGACCACUUAAUUUUGGGAUGUUAAAACAAUUGAAUCCAAUGGCACAAUCAAACAGGUAAAACUGAGUGUGAAGGAAGCUAUAAAUCCACCUAACAAAAGAAAGAUCGUACUCAAGUUUAAUAGUGCACUACAACCAGUUGGGGAUGAAGCAGGUCUACUGAGCGGCGUUAUGGGACUACUAGGAUCUAACUACACCGAAUUCCCAAUCUACGAGAAGGACUGGAGAAAGGUUCGCACCCGGGACAAGGUCUAUAAUGAAUGUGUAAAGGAAAUGUUCCAUUUUGAAGAAGAUAGUAGAGGAAUGAUCAAGCGUAUAAUAUUCAAAAUGCUAGGAAGGGCUUGGAAGGAAACAAGGAACAGAUUAUACCAUCACUGCUAUGACUCAGGACUUUCUCUUGAAGAAAAUAUUAAAAACCGCCCAUUGGGAAUUACUGCGGACCAUUGGAGAUGGUUUCUCGAUUAUCGCAAUAGUGAAGAGACAUAGGAGAAGUGUAAGAAAAAUGCUGAGAAUCGAUCAAAGUAGCUUUACACCCACACUGGUGAAUCGAAAAGCUUGGCAAGGCUCGGAGAAGAAGAGUCAGAACGACAAGGGAGGAGAGUUAGUAAAGGAGAGUUGUAUCUCUUAACGCAUAAAAGAGCUAAUGGCUCCUAUGUCUAUGAUGCAGCUCGAGCUAGUGGAGAAAGAAUUGAGGCUAUUGAGCAACGUGAUGAAUCCUCUAGAAUGUUGUCUCAGAAUGAUUCGCUUGCUUAAGCUCUCGGAAAGGAGCACUCGGGUAGGGUGCGUGGCAUGGGUUUGGGGCCGACUUCUAGUCAAGUAUUCGGUAUGAAUUCCCAUCAGCCGAGCAAUGGUUUUAAAAGGGAGGAGACCUAAAGGGUGCUGCUUGAACUACAAGCAAAGUUGGCAACCGAGAAAUUAAAAAGGAAGGUAGUGGUGGAUGAAGUAGCAGCUGAGAAGACAAAAAGACAGGCAGUAGAGGAUGAAGUAGCAGCCGAAAAGACAAAAAGACAGGUAGUGGAGGAUGAAGUAACAGCUGGGAAGGUAUGGAUGCAGGCAAUGGAGAGUGCUUUAAUAUGUCUACUUCAAGGACAAGGUGGGAAGCUGCCAUCAGACGUCGCCACAUGGAUGAGUGCGUUGGAUGGACAGAUUAGAAAGUAGAUCUUAGGAUUGUGGAACCUUUUUUUCUUUUAGAUAUACACUUUCUUUUGGUGUUGAUUAUGAAACUCUUAGUAAGA